UACGAAGGGGGCUAGCGUUGCUCGGAAUUACUGGGCGUAAAGCGUGCGCAGGCGGUUUUGUAAGCCAGGUGUGAAAUCCCCGGGCUCAACCUGGGAAUGGCAUUUGGGACUGCAAGGCUGGAGUGCGGCAGAGGAGACUGGAAUUCCUGGUGUAGCAGUGAAAUGCGUAGAUAUCAGGAGGAACACCGAUGGCGAAGGCAGGUCUCUGGGCUGACACUGACGCUCAUGCACGAAAGCGUGGGGAGCAAACAGG
rnacentral:rRNA from 1 species